GGGGCCGCGGCUUAGCGGUAGAGCCUCUGCUUGCCACGCAGAAGGUCCCAGGUUCGAUCCCUGGCGGCUCCA